rnacentral:rRNA from 1 species
UACGAAGGGGGCUAGCGUUGCUCGGAAUCACUGGGCGUAAAGCGCACGUAGGCGGCUUCUUAAGUCAGGGGUGAAAUCCUGGAGCUCAACUCCAGAACUGCCUUUGAUACUGAGGAGCUUGAGUCCGGGAGAGGUGAGUGGAACUGCGAGUGUAGAGGUGAAAAUUCGUAGAUAUUCGCAAGAACACCAGUGGCGAAGGCGGCUCACUGGCCCGGUACUGACGCUGAGGUGCGAAAGCGUGGGGAGCAACAGG